rnacentral:tRNA from 1 species
GCGGGCGUAGCUCAGUGGCAGAGCUCCUGGCUUCCACCCAGAUCACAGGGGUUCGAUUCCCCUCACCCGCU